rnacentral:tRNA from 1 species
GGGCUGGUAGCUUAAUUUGGCAGAGCGACAGUCUUGCAAACUGUUAGGCGAGAGUUCGAGCCUCUCCCAGUCCA